UCGGGUGUGGUGCACGGCGCACGGCGGCUCCAUCUUAUGCGAGAGAUCCUACCUGAUUGAACCGCAGGCCGGGGUUCGACUCCCCGCACCCGAC